AACGAACGCUGGCGGCAGGCUUAACACAUGCAAGUCGAACGGGUGUAGCAAUACAUCAGUGGCAGACGGGUGGGUAACACGUGGGAACCUUCCUAGGGGUACGGAACAACUCAGGGAAACUUGAGCUAAUACCGUAUACGUCCGUGAGGAGAAAGAUUUAUCGCCCUUAGACGGGCCCGCGUCGGAUUAGCUAGUUGGUGGGGUAACGGCCUACCAAGGCGACGAUCCGUAGCUGAUCUUAGAGGAUGAUCAGCCACACGGGGACUGAGACACGGCCCAGACUCCUACGGGAGGCAGCAGUGGGGAAUCUUGGACAAUGGGCGCAAGCCUGAUCCAGCCAUGCCGCGUGAGUGAAGAAGGUCUUCGGAUUGUAAAGCUCUUUUGCCAGGGACGAUAAUGACGGUACCUGGAGAAUAAGCCCCGGCAAACUUCGUGCCAGCCGCCGCCGUAA
rnacentral:rRNA from 1 species